UUACUUACCUGGCAGGGGCGAUUCCAUGAUCACGAAGGUGGUUUCCCCAGGGUGAGGCUCACCCAUUGCACUCUGGGCAUGCUGAUCCCUGCGAUUUCCCCAAAUGUGGAAAACUUGACUGUGUAAUAUAAUAUAUGGUAGUGGGGACUGCGUGUGUGCUCUCCCCU